GACGGAUGGCAGCAGCGAGGAAUAUUGGUCAAUGGACGCAAGUCUGAACCAGCCAUGCCGCGUGCAGGAAGACGGCUCUAUGAGUUGUAAACUGCUUUUGUACGAGGGUAAAUCCCGAUACGUGUAUCGGGUUGAAAGUAUCGUACGAAUAAGGAUCGGCUAACUCCGUGCCAGCAGCCGCGGUAAUACGGAGGAUUCAAGCGUUAUCCGGAUUUAUUGGGUUUAAAGGGUGCGUAGGCGGUCGGAUAAGUUAGGGGUGAAAUCCCGAGGCUCAACUUCGGAAUUGCCUCUGAUACUGGUCGGCUAGAGAGUAGUUGCGGUAGGCGGAAUGUAUGGUGUAGCGGUGAAAUGCUUAGAGAUCAUACAGAACACCGAUUGCGAAGGCAGCUUACCAAGCUACUUCUGACGUUGAGGCACGAAAGCGUGGGGAGCAAACAGGAUUAGAUACCCGUGUAGUC
rnacentral:rRNA from 1 species